CCCUGCCAUUUGUACACACCGCCCGUCGCUACAACCGAUUGAAUGGCUUAGUGAGGCCUUCGGACUGCCCCAGGGAGGUCGGCAACGACCACCCAGGGGCGGAAAGUUCGUCAAACUUGGUCAUUUAG
rnacentral:rRNA from 1 species